rnacentral:hammerhead_ribozyme from 1 species
AUCCGGCUGAUGAGUUGCAAAUAGGACGAAAUAUGCAUCUUGGAU